AGGUUGCUGGACUAGUCUGGUUCCUUUCAGGUCUUGGGCUGAAUUUUCUCCUUGUGGAGGCUGCCUGAGCAGAGAGUGUGGAAGGCUAUGUACCUGGUUUGGAUUUUUCAGCGAGUCCUGACAAUGUAACAAUUUGUAAAGUGCUCUUGUCUAAAAUUGGAUAAAAUUCAGGCCAGUUUAGUUUUAGGUGACCCCUUCAACCAGCCCUUCUCCAACAGGUGGGAUUCAAAAGAUCCGUUGAUGAAUUGCCUUGCUAAACAAGCGAGCCCUGGGAAAAUGAAGCUUAACAAAGGUGAAAAUCAUCUGUAAAGUUUGCUGGCACUCAUCCCAGUUGUGCAUGUGUGUGAAAAUUACUGUCUCUAAUGAGUGCUGUGGCGUCAAUUCAGAGCCUGGGAACUGGU